AGACUUUGAUCCUGGCUCAGGAUGAACGCUGGCGGCGUGCCUAAUACAUGCAAGUCGAGCGAAUGAUGAGGAGCUUGCUCCCCUGAUUUAGCGGCGGACGGGUGAGUAACACGUGGGUAAUCUGCCUGUAAGACGGGGAUAACUCCGGGAAACCGGGGCUAAUACCGGAUAAUAAGAGAAGAAGCAUUUCUUCUUUUUGAAAGUCGGUUUCGGCUGACACUUACAGAUGAGCCCGCGGCGCAUUAGCUAGUUGGUGAGGUAACGGCUCACCAAGGCGACGAUGCGUAGCCGACCUGAGAGGGUGAUCGGCCACACUGGGACUGAGACACGGCCCAGACUCCUACGGGAGGCAGCAGUAGGGAAUCUUCGGCAAUGGGCGAAAGCCUGACCGAGCAACGCCGCGUGAGCGAUGAAGGCCUUCGGGUCGUAAAGCUCUGUAGUAAGAGAAGAACAAGUACGAGAGUAACUGCUCGUACCUUGACGGUACCUAACCAGAAAGCCAC
rnacentral:rRNA from 1 species